rnacentral:rRNA from 1 species
CAGCCGCCGCGGUAAUACGUAGGGGGCGAGCGUUACCCGGAUUCACUGGGCGUAAAGGGGGCGCAGGCGAUCCAGUAUGUCGGGCGUGAAAUCCCACAGCUCAACUGUGGAAUUGCGCCCGAAACUACUGGGUUUGGGGCUGGUAGAGGGAGACGGAACUGCUGGUGUAGGGGUGAAAUCCGUAGAUAUCAGCAGGAACGCCGGUGGGGAAGCCGGUCUCCUGGGCCAAGCCCGACGCUGAGGCCCGAAAGCUAGGGGAGCAAACCGGAUGAGAUACCCGGGUAGUCCUAGCCGUAAACGAUGCCCACUAGGUGUGGGGGAGUCAUUCCUCCGUGCUGUAGCUAACGCGUUAAGUGGGCCGCCUGGGGAGUACGCCCGCAAGGGUGAAACUUAAAGGAAUUGGCGGG